rnacentral:rRNA from 1 species
UACGUAGGGGGCAAGCGUUGUCCGGAUUUAUUGGGCGUAAAGAGCGUGUAGGCGGUUAGGUAGGUCCGUUGUGAAAACUCGAGGCUCAACCUCGAGACGCCGAUGGAAACCAUCUAACUAGAGUCCGGAAGAGGAGAAUGGAAUUCCUGGUGUAGCGGUGAAAUGCGCAGAUAUCAGGAGGAACACCAAUAGCGAAGGCAGCUCGCUGGGACGUUACUGACACUGAGGCGCGACAGCGUGGGGAGCAAACAGG